rnacentral:rRNA from 1 species
UACGGAGGGUGCAAGCGUUGUCCGGAAUCACUGGGCGUAAAGGGCGCGUAGGCGGCUCAUGAAGGCUGUGGUGAAAGCCCAGGGCUCAACCUUGGAAUUGCCUUUGAUACUGGCAGUCUUGAGUACGGAAGAGGUAUGUGGAACUCCGAGUGUAGAGGUGAAAUUCGUAGAUAUUCGGAAGAACACCAGUGGCGAAGGCGACAUACUGGUCCGUUACUGACGCUGAGGCUCGAAAGCGUGGGGAGCAAACAGG